GCAUCGUGCUCAGUUGGAGAUCUUGGUCUCUCUGAAAACUGGACGUUCUGAUUUCCUUGAGCUGGACGACAGUAUCUCCUCUGCCCACUUAGCUGAGAUCUACAUGAACAUGAGAUGUAAAAACCUUUCGUGCAGGGUUUUGGUGCCUGUGGAUGAAUGUGAUUGCAAGGUUUGUUCAAGCAAGGAUGGGUUAUUGGUGGUCAGGAUACCAAUCAGCCUAUUGGUUCACCAGUCCGUUCUGGAAGUGUUCGUUCUAUGACAGACACGUUUCGUACUGAUUCCGAGGGCUUCACCAUGUCUAUGUCCUUUUCAGGUUCACGUUCGUUUAAUCACAACCCAAGCUGUUCGUUGAAUCACAAUAUUGGAGAUAAUGAGCAGUCAGUUCAUAGCCGACCUAUAUUUCAAGGUAUAGAUUGGCAGGCACUGUCUCAUAAUGAUCCAAGGUACAACGAGAAUACAGUCUAUCAGAAACUGAUGGAAAAUGGAAAUGGUUCAGCUCCUCCUCAGUCAAUGAAAGGAAUUUUAAUUCCGGGUCAAGCUGAUGAAGAGCAUCUUAGAUUGACCGAUGGGAGCUCUAAGGCAGUAGAUAGGCUUGAGAAACAGUUGAGUUUCCAGAAAAGUGUUGAUCUUAGAUCAGCUGGCUCUCUCGAAAACGGUUCUAAGCACCAUGCUGAGAAGAAAAAAGCCAUGGACUUUUUUGGUGGCAGUAUCUCCGGAAUAAGUGGCAUUAACGCUGGUGGGGAUGAAUCUUUUGAGAUUGUAAUGAGAUACAUUCUCUCCGAUUCGAUGCAUGUGAUGACCAAGAGGUUUCAAGAGAUGACCACGCGAUACAUAGCUAGCUUGAAGGAAUACAUCCGGCAGAUGAUGAUGAACAAGGAUAAGAAUGCACGGCUUGGUGUUUUGCAAGAUGCUCUGCAGAACAGGACUGAUAUUACAUUGGAACUGCUUACAAAAUCGCAUCGUGCUCAGUUGGAGAUCUUGGUCUCUCUGAAAACUGGACGUUCUGAUUUCCUUGAGCUGGACGACAGUAUCUCCUCUGCCCACUUAGCUGAGAUCUACAUGAACAUGAGAUGUAAAAACCUUUCGUGCAGGGUUUUGGUGCCUGUGGAUGAAUGUGAUUGCAAGGUUUGUUCAAGCAAGGAUGGGUUUUGUAGUGCUUGCAUGUGUCUUUUGUGCUCAAACUUUGAUAUGGCAUCCAACA
rnacentral:lncRNA from 1 species